CCUACGGCUGGCAGCAGUGGGGAAUAUUGCACAAUGGGCGCAAGCCUGACGCAGCCAUGCCGCGUGUGUGAAGAAGGCCUUCGGGUUGUAAAGCACUUUCAGCGGGGAGGAAGGCGUUAAGGUUAAUAACCUUGUCGAUUGACGUUACCCGCAGAAGAAGCACCGGCUAACUCUGUGCCAGCAGCCGCGGUAAUACGGAGGGUGCAAGCGUUAAUCGGAAUUACUGGGCGUAAAGCGCACGCAGGCGGUCUGUCAAGUCGGAUGUGAAAUCCCCGGGCUCAACCUGGGAACUGCAUUCGAAACUGGCAGGCCAGAGUCUUGUAGAGGGGGGUAGAAUUCCAGGUGUAGCGGUGAAAUGCGUAGAGAUCUGGAGGAAUACCGGUGGCGAAGGCGGCCCCCUGGACAAAGACUGACGCUCAGGUGCGAAAGCGUGGGGAGCAAACAGGAUUAGAUACCCGGGUAGUC
rnacentral:rRNA from 1 species